rnacentral:misc_RNA from 1 species
AAAGCAGGUUCUACUUGUGGCUCCUCACCCAGAACUUUGGUUGCAAGAGCAUCAAGAUUUUUGGGAUGUCCAGCAAUCAAAUUACCGAUACAACGCAAUGCCCCACAACGUACAUCAACGGGAGUCCAUUGGCUUUCAACACCUAGCAUUAGAAGAUAAUCCAAAACCUUUAUCUGAACCAGGACUGUUUUAGGUCAGCUUGUUUGUGUCUUUUCCAGGAUCUGCACCCCCUACCAUUAACAAAUUAAUGGUUUCCAAUGCACUGAGUAGAUUGAUCGUCUUCUGUUGGGUAAAACUGUACGAACUUCCUCGUAGCUUCAAAAUUGAUACUACGGCAUCAAAACCUAUUGUCUCUCUCAGUAGUAUCUGAUUAGAAGCAUUGUUACGGAGAAGAUUGUUCAAUAAUUCAAGGCAGUCCUGCACAACAACACCACCUUCUGAACCUCCUUCCUCUUUGAUAAUGCUAAAAAUCUUCUCAAAUGCACCCUCAAAGACCACAAUUUUUUGGAUCUCCUCAGCUUCUCUAGUGAGGUAGGUAAGAAGCAAUAAGGCCUCAUUUCUUAUAACCUC